rnacentral:rRNA from 1 species
UACGUAGGGGGCAAGCGUUGUCCGGAAUUAUUGGGCGUAAAGAGCGUGUAGGCGGCCAGAUAAGUCCGCUGUGAAAUCUCGAGGCUCAACUUCGAGCUGUCGGUGGAAACUAUCUGGCUAGAGUCCGGAAGAGGAGAAUGGAAUUCCUGGUGUAGCGGUGAAAUGCGCAGAUAUCAGGAAGAACACCCGUGGCGAAGGCGGUUCUCUGGGACGGUACUGACGCUGAGACGCGAAAGCGUGGGAGGCGAA